rnacentral:rRNA from 1 species
GAUGAACGCUGGCGGCGUGCCUAAUACAUGCCAGUCGAGCGAACAGAUAAGGAGCUUGCUCCUUUGACGUUAGCGGCGGACGGGUGAGUAACACGUGGGUAACCUACCUAUAAGACUGGAAUAACUCCGGGAAACCGGGGCUAAUGCCGGAUAACAUUUAGAACCGCAUGGUUCUAAAGUGAAAGAUGGUUUUGCUAUCACUUAUAGAUGGACCCGCGCCGUAUUAGCUAGUUGGUAAGGUAACGGCUUACCAAGGCAACGAUACGUAGCCGACCUGAGAGGGUGAUCGGCCACACUGGAACUGAGACACGGUCCAGACUCCUACGGGAGGCAGCAGUAGGGAAUCUUCCGCAAUGGGCGAAAGCCUGACGGAGCAACGCCGCGUGAGUGAUGAAGGUCUUCGGAUCGUAAAACGCUGUUAUUAGGGAAGAACAAAUGUGUAAGUAACUGUGCACGUCUGGACGGUACCUAAUCAGAAAGCCACGGCUAACUACGU